rnacentral:rRNA from 1 species
AUUGAACGCUGGCGGAAUGCUUUACACAUGCAAGUCGAACGGCAGCACGGACUUCGGUCUGGUGGCGAGUGGCGAACGGGUGAGUAAUGUAUCGGAACGUGCCCGGUCGUGGGGGAUAACGUAGUGAAAAUUACGCUAAUACCGCAUACGAUCUAUGGAUGAAAGCGGGGGAUCGCAAGACCUCGCGCGAUUGGAGCGGCCGAUAUCAGAUUAGGUAGUUGGUGGGGUAAAGGCCCACCAAGCCAACGAUCUGUAGCUGGUCUGAGAGGACGACCAGCCACACUGGAACUGAGACACGGUCCAGGCUCCUACGGGAGGCAGCAGCGGGGAAUUUUGGACAAUGGGCGAAAGCCUGAUCCAGCCAUCCCGCGUGCAGGAUGAAGGCCCUCGGGUUGUAAACUGCUUUUGUACAGAACGAAAAGGUUUCUACUAAUACUAGGAGCUCAUGACGGUACUGUAAGAAUAAGCACCGGCUAACUACGUGCCAGCCGCCGCCGUAA